CUGAACGCAGAGAGAGAGAGAGAUAACAGAGUGAGAUCAGGAGAUGGAGAGGGAGAUCAGAGAGAGAGAGUUGGGAGCAGAGAGAUGAAACUGAGAGAGCCGAGAGAUGAGACCGAGAUCGAGAGAGUUGAGGGAGAUGGAGCCCGAUCCUCCAUGGAUCGACGCCGGUGAUGCGAGUUCCGGCCGACUCUACCGGUGGGUCGACUAUGGUGGAGCCUAGGACUCGAUUUCCGGCGGAACCCAAGAGCUUGGACCCGCAACCCGCGACCCGAACCCAAGAACCCGUGAGACCCGAUAUUUCGGUGGUGUAGUCCGGCGAGUCCUCCGACGAACCAGAGCCGAUUUCCGGCCUUGCUUCGGAUAGUGUCCGAAUUGGAGACUUCAAUGGGUUCUCCAAUGUAGAGUCUGAGUCGUGGGUCCAAUGCAGCCAAGGUGAGUAUUCUACUCACUGAGAAAAGAUAUUUUUCGUAUUUUAUAGAAAUGCAAAUGAUAGAUGAUUUUCUACUGAACCAACGAUAUGUUAACAUGUAUGCUUUGAAUGUUUUAAGUAGUUUCAAUUAUGUUGAAAUAUCAAUGAUGUUAUGAAAUGAUGCAUAAAUGAAAUGUUUGAAUUGAUUUAAAGUGUCUGAAUAUGUACUGCAAUUAUGCAAAGAAAAAUAAAGAAAACUUCAUGUUUAUUGGUUCAUUGUAUUUGAAGAGAGCAUGAUUUGUAAAGAAUAGGAGUAUAGAGUUUGAGUUGUAAAGCAUAAUGCACGAACACAUAAUAAAGAAGAGAGCGUGAGGCUCAUAAUAAAGAAGAGAGCGUGAGGCUCAUAAUAAAGAAGAGAGCGUGAGGCUCAUAAUAAUGAAGAGAGCGUGAGGCUCAUAAUAAAGAAGAGAGCGUGAGGCUCAUAAUAAUGAAGAGAGCGUGAGGCUCAUAAUGAACAAAAAGACUAUCAUAAGCAUGCAUAGCAUUGUUUAAAUUGUGUAAUGUUUUCAUGAUAAGUAUAUUGUAGUUUUGCUAGACGUAUUAGUAUGCAUAAGAGUCUUGAUAGAAAAAGAACUUAUGUAUAUUGGUAUCGGAUUGUGUGAUGUUUUUAUGAAAGUAUAUUGUAGUUUUGCUAGACGUAUUAGUAUGCAUAAAAGUCUUGAUAGAAAAAGAACUUAUGUAUAUUGGUAUCGGAUGGUUGCAUGAUUUAAAUGUCAUUGUGUUCUAUAACGAAUCUUUUAUGUAUAAUACUAGCUGCCCAGUGUAUUUAAAUGUUUUCUAUUAGUCGGUGUUUGCUAUAUCAGCUAUGGGGUUUUUCAAACAAAAGUUUAUAAGAUUGGUAGCUGUUAUAGUGUACGCACGACUAAAAAUGAAAAGUUGGUUCUUUGCGAAAACUCAGUGAAUAGUAUACCUCUGAGGUCUUAGUGUAUUUAUUUAUGCUAAGACGGUGGGCUCAUAAUUCCACCUAUACGGAUGUGGCAAACCCCCACAACCGUAUAGAUGAUGUUUCUUUGGCUGCAGGUAUUCUGGUCAUAGUAUAUGGUGUCGUAGAAGUAUAUUGAGGAUAUUAUGACUAAAGCUCAACGCGACGAUUGUAAUGUGUUAGACCGCGGGAUGUCUAUUCCUUUAGGUAUUUUGAUUAUGGCUUGUGACGCUUGCGCCACAUAAACUUUGUUAAGCCAUUUAUGUUAUGUAUUUAAUUUGAGGAAAGACUUAAAUCAUAUAGUUAUGUAAUGGCUCUUAUUGUCAUUAAUUGUGAUAGACAUAUAAGAUGUGAUUCCCGCUAA